UUAAUUCGAUGCAAACGCGAAAACCUUACCUACCCUUGACAUGUCUGGAAUCCCGAAGAGAUUUGGGAGUGCUCGCAAGAGAACCGGAACACAGGUGCUGCAUGGCUGUCGCUGCCUGUGUCGUGAGAUGUUGGGUUAAGUCCCGCAACGUAGCACAACCCUCGUCAUUAGUUGGCUACGAAAGGGCACUCUAUCGUGAGACUGCCGGUGACAAACCGAGGAAGGUGGGGAUGACGUCAAGUCCUCAUGGCCCUAUGGGUAGGGCUUCACACGUCAUACAAUGGUCGGGACAGAGGGUCGCCAACCCGCGAGGGGGAGCCAAUCCCAGAAACCCGAUCGUAGUCCGGAUCGCAGUCUGCAACUCGACUGCGUGAAGUCGGAAUCGCUAGUAAUCGCGGAUCAGCAUGUCGCGGUGAAUACGUUCCCUGGCCUUGUACACACCGCCCGUCACACCAUGGGGAGUGGGUUUUACCAGAAGUAGUUAGCCUAACCGUAAGGAGGGCGAUACCACGGUAGGAUCCAUGACUGGGGUGAAGUCGUAACAAGGUAG
rnacentral:misc_RNA from 1 species